UACGUAGGGUGCAAGCGUUAAUCGGAAUUACUGGGCGUAAAGCGUGCGCAGGCGGUCUUGCAAGACAGAUGUGAAAUCCCCGGGCUUAACCUGGGAACUGCAUUUGUGACUGCAAGGCUGGAGUACGGCAGAGGAGGAUGGAAUUCCGCGUGUAGCAGUGAAAUGCGUAGAUAUGCGGAGGAACACCGAUGGCGAAGGCAAUCCCCUGGGCCUGUACUGACGCUCAUGCACGAAAGCGUGGGGAGCAAACAGG
rnacentral:rRNA from 1 species